AAGCGUUGUUCGGAAUUAUUGGGCGUAAAGCGCGUGUAGGCGGUCUGAUUAGUCUGAUGUGAAAGCCCUGGGCUCAACCCAGGAAGUGCAUUGGAUACUGUCAGACUUGAAUACGGGAGAGGGUAGUGGAAUUCCUAGUGUAGGAGUGAAAUCCGUAGAUAUUAGGAGGAACACCGGUGGCGAAGGCGGCUGCCUGGACCGAUAUUGACGCUGAGACGCGAAAGCGUGGGGAGCAAACAGGAUUAGAUACCCUGGUAGUCCACGCCGUAAACGAUGAGUACUAGGUGUUGCGGGUAUUGACCCCUGCAGUGCC
rnacentral:rRNA from 1 species